CUUCUUCUGCUGAGCCAAAAAUUUAUCUGUAACACAAGAUGCGCUCUCUCCGGGAGCAGUAUCUCUCAAUGCUGCAAAGAGCCCAGCUAUAGUGGUUAUUGACUAUCCAUGUUUGUCCAAAAAAAUCUUGUUUCCGAUUUCGGAUGAGGUAAAAUCAACUGUUACUGAUCCUGGCCAAAGUCACAUGUCCACAGUUGCCAUACCCAAUGGUUUGCCCACUACUGUUG